rnacentral:rRNA from 1 species
AAAGGGUUUCUUUGUGGGGGCGGCGAGAAAAGGGGGCCCCCUAAAGGGGGUUUUUGGGAACGGGGAUAUACGGGAAACUUGGGCCCCAGUUUUAAAAAAAAAGUUUUCUUUCUUUAAAAUGGCCCGGCCGUUAAGGUUUGGGUAAGUAACGCUUCCAAGGCACGAACGUAGCCGCCUGGAAGGUGAUCGGCCACCUGGACUGAACCCGUUCAGAUCCUACGGAAGCAGCAGUAGGGAUCUUCCGCAAUGGGCGAAAGCCUGACGGAGCAACGCCGCGUGAGGAUGAAGGGUUUCGGCUCGUAAAACUUUGUUAUUAGGGAAGAACAAAUGCGUAAGUAACUGGGCACGUCUUGACGGUACCUAAUCAGAAAGCCACGGCUAACUACGUGCCAGCAGCCGCGGUAAUACGUAGGUGGCAAGCGUUAUCCGGAAUUAUUGGGCGUAAAGCGCGCGUAGGCGGUUUCUUAAGUCUGAUGUGAAAGCCCACGGCUCAACCGUGGAGGGUCAUUGGAAACUGGGAAACUUGAGUGCAGAAGAGGAAAGUGGAAUUCCAUGUGUAGCGGUGAAAUGCGCAGAGAUAUGGAGGAACACCAGUGGCGAAGGCGACUUUCUGGUCUGUAACUGACGCUGAUGUGCGAAAGCGUGGGGAUCAAACAGGAUUAGAUACCCUGGUAGUCCACGCCGUAAACGAUGAGUGCUAAGUGUUAGGGGGUUUCCGCCCCUUAGUGCUGCAGCUAACGCAUUAAGCACUCCGCCUGGGGAGUACGACCGCAAGGUUGAAACUCAAAGGAAUUGACGGGGACCCGCACAAGCGGUGGAGCAUGUGGUUUAAUUCGAAGCAACGCGAAGAACCUUACCAAAUCUUGACAUCCUUUGAAAACUCUAGAGAUAGAGCUUUCCCCUUCGGGGGACAAAGUGACAGGUGGUGCAUGGUUGUCGUCAGCUCGUGUCGUGAGAUGUUGGGUUAAGUCCCGCAACGAGCGCAACCCUUAAGCUUAGUUGCCAUCAUUAAGUUGGGCACUCUAGGUUGACUGCCGGUGACAAACCGGAGGAAGGUGGGGAUGACGUCAAAUCAUCAUGCCCCUUAUGAUUUGGGCUACACACGUGCUACAAUGGACAAUACAAAGGGCAGCUAAACCGCGAGGUCAUGCAAAUCCCAUAAAGUUGUUCUCAGUUCGGAUUGUAGUCUGCAACUCGACUACAUGAAGCUGGAAUCGCUAGUAAUCGUAGAUCAGCAUGCUACGGUGAAUACGUUCCCGGGUCUUGUACACACCGCCCGUCACACCACGAGAGUUUGUAACACCCGAAGCCGGUGGAGUAACCCAUUUAU